UGAGCUCGCGCACUGAGCUGCUGGCGGC
rnacentral:piRNA from 1 species